CAUGAGUUAUGUCAUGUUAUCGACAUGUGAAUUCAUAGCAUGUCAGAAGGCAGACCCGGAGAACUGAAACAUCUUAGUACCCGGAGGAAGAGAAAGAAAAAUCGAUUCCCUGAGUAGCGGCGAGCGAAACGGGAAGAGCCCAAACCAACAAGCUUGCUUGUUGGGGUUGUAGGACACUCUAUACGGAGUUACAAAAGAACAUGUUAGACGAAUCAUCUGGAAAGAUGAAUCAAAGAAGGUAAUAAUCCUGUAGUCGAAAACAUAUUCUCUCUUGAGUGGAUCCUGAGUACGACGGAGCACGUGAAAUUCCGUCGGAAUCUGGGAGGACCAUCUCCUAAGGCUAAAUACUCUCUAGUGACCGAUAGUGAACCAGUACCGUGAGGGAAAGGUGAAAAGUACCCCGGAAGGGGAGUGAAAGAGAACUUGAAACCGUGUGCUUACAAGUAGUCAGAGCCCGUUAAUGGGUGAUGGCGUGCCUUUUGUAGAAUGAACCGGCGAGUUACGAUCUGAUGCAAGGUUAAGCAGCAAAUGUGGAGCCGCAGCGAAAGCGAGUCUGAAUAGGGCGUUGAGUAUUUGGUCGUAGACCCGAAACCAGGUGAUCUACCCUUGGUCAGGUUGAAGUUCAGGUAACACUGAAUGGAGGACCGAACCGACUUACGUUGAAAAGUGAGCGGAUGAACUGAGGGUAGCGGAGAAAUUCCAAUCGAACUUGGAGAUAGCUGGUUCUCUCCGAAAUAGCUUUAGGGCUAGCCUCAAGUGAUGAUUAUUGGAGGUAGAGCACUGUUUGGACGAGGGGCCCCUCUCGGGUUACCGAAUUCAGACAAACUCCGAAUGCCAAUUAAUUUAACUUGGGAGUCAGAACAUGGGUGAUAAGGUCCGUGUUCGAAAGGGAAACAGCCCAGACCACCAGCUAAGGUCCCAAAAUAUAUGUUAAGUGGAAAAGGAUGUGGCGUUGCCCAGACAACUAGGAUGUUGGCUUAGAAGCAGCCAUCAUUUAAAGAGUGCGUAAUAGCUCACUAGUCGAGUGA
rnacentral:rRNA from 1 species